UAAUAGGGUUUCUUAGAGGCAUGAUUCUAAUACAGAUCUGGUUUCCACAGCUUUUGGAAGUAAACUAUUGUUGUUUAUUCCAUAAAGAGAAAGAAGAAAAUGAGUACGAUAAAGUAAUUCAUUGUAUUCUCAAAGAUGCUCAUCUCUAGUGAAAUUUGUAAUAGUAUUCAGAGGACGAAGAUGGCUAGUAUUGCAGGAAUGAUGAUUUUGUAUAUUUCGAACACCUUUCAUAGUUAGUAACAACAGAGGAAGUAGAUCCCUUUUUUUAUGAGAAGCAAGGUUCUUCAAUAAACUUUCUUUCGUUAUAAAGCUUAGUCCAUCUGUUCAGUGCGGAUUUACUGGAAAUUUGAUAUUUUCUUGUGAUAUUUCUCAGAGAGUAGUGUCAGGAUAAGAAGUCCUUCACGGCAGCGUGUUUCAGUUCCACAGCGUAGAACUUAUGGUGUUUAGAGCAUUCCGGGCUCUUAACGCCGGCUAUGUUAUGUCGUGCCUUCAUUCGGUUAGAAUGCCAUAUUCUUUAGCAAGCUCUUUCAUCGAAGCAUUCCCCAGAUCACAUUCUGAAUGUGUUUAGUUUUGUCUUCUUUUGAGUGCCAUUUUCAAGACAUGAAAAAACUCCCCAAGGCAAACAGAUUUUUAUUUCCAUCUGUCUACUUUUAAGGGAGCAUAUCAUCAUCUCUGAACCCCAUAUCCCUCACUUCAUAUACCGAUACUCCCGCAAACUCUCCAAAAUAGCCACUUCCUGCAAUAACUCCUCACCCACAUUCGUUUCCUUCACUUUCUUCCGCUCAAGCUCUUUGUCCACUAAUCGCUUCACCGUUAAGACAUCAGUUCCGGUGCUUAGGACUUCUGCCUUGGAGUUGAAGUGUUUAUGGGCGACGAGCUGCAUGCCGUAGGAGUUGUAUAGCAGCGUGUAGCCGGCGAUGCCUGUUGUGGAUUGGUAGGCUUUGGAGAAGCCGCCGUCGAUGACGAUCAUUUUUCCGUUUGCUUUGAUUGGGUCUUCUCCUUCGAUUUCUUUUACGGGUGUAUGGCCGUUAAUGAUAUGGCCAUGAUCUGGAUUGAGGCCGAAUUCUGCCAGGAUGUUUCGGCAGGUUGCCUCGUCUUCGCGUAAAUAAUAAUACGGGUUUUUCUUUUCUUUAUGCGUUUCCUUCUCUUUAAUGAAAUAGCGCUCAAAUGUUGUCAUGGCGCGUUUUCCGAAGAGAGAGGAAUAUUCGCCUGUCCAUAAAUACCAGGCCAUGUCUGUCGCCAGGUCAUCGGUUUCUUCCGGGUGGGCAAAGGCUUCCCGUAAGAAUCGUUCAAAUACAUCGAGCAGCUCACGGCCCGCAUACGGUUUAUCCUCAAUCAUCAUCGUUUCCAUAUUGCCGUUUUCAUCGACAGGAAUACAGCCAUGAAUUAACAGGUUGCCGUUAUAUUUUAAAUAAAGGCUGCCUUUUUUCAUCAUAAAAUUCAUAUGGCGGCCCAGCUUUUCGGAAUGCUGGACAGAGAACAGCAGCUUGUCUAUGACUUCUGCUUCUUCUUCUAAUAGCUGGUCUGGCUGCUCCGGAUUUAUCGUCGCAAAG
rnacentral:rRNA from 1 species